rnacentral:rRNA from 1 species
AAUGCCUAGGAAUCUGCCUAGUGGUGGGGGAUAACGUUCGGAAACGGACGCUAAUACCGCAUACGUCCUACGGGAGAAAGCGGGGGAUCUUCGGACCUCGCGCCAUUAGAUGAGCCUAGGUCGGAUUAGCUAGUUGGUGGGGUAAAGGCUCACCAAGGCGACGAUCCGUAACUGGUCUGAGAGGAUGAUCAGUCACACUGGAACUGAGACACGGUCCAGACUCCUACGGGAGGCAGCAGUGGGGAAUAUUGGACAAUGGGCGAAAGCCUGAUCCAGCCAUGCCGCGUGUGUGAAGAAGGUCUUCGGAUUGUAAAGCACUUUAAGUUGGGAGGAAGGGCCGUAACCUAAUACGUUGCGGCUUUGACGUUACCGACAGAAUAAGCACCGGCUAACUCCGUGCCAGCAGCCGCGGUAAUACGAAGGGUGCAAGCGUUAAUCGGAAUUACUGGGCGUAAAGCGCGCGUAGGUGGUUCAGUAAGUUGGAUGUGAAAGCCCUGGGCUCAACCUGGGAACUGCAUCCAAAACUACUGAGCUAGAGUACGGUAGAGGGUAGUGGAAUUUCCUGUGUAGCGGUGAAAUGCGUAGAUAUAGGAAGG